rnacentral:rRNA from 1 species
GACGAACGCUGGCGGCGUGCUUAACACAUGCAAGUCGAACGAUGAAGCCGGAGCUUGCUCUGGUGAAUUAGUGGCGAACGGGUGAGCAACACGUGAGUAACCUGCCCUUGACUCUGGGAUAACUGCUAGAAAUGGUAGCUAAUACCGGAUACGACCCUCGGAGGCAUCUCCAGGGGGUGGAAAGAAUUUCGGUCAAGGAUGGACUCGCAGCCUAUCAGGCAGUUGGUGAGGUAACGGCUCACCAAGGCGACGACGGGUAGCCGGCCUGAGAGGGUGACCGGCCACACUGGGACUGAGACCCGGCCCAAACUCCUAAGGGAGGCAGCAGUGGGGAAUAUUGCACAAUGGGCCCAAGCCUGAUGCAGCAACGCCGCGUGAGGGAUGACGGCCUUCGGGUUGUAAACCUCUUUUAGCAGGGAAGAAGCGAAAGUGACGGUACCUGCAGAAAAAGCACCGGCUAACUACGUGCCAGCAGCCGCCGUAA